UCUAUGGCUAACAGAUUUUUUAACAUUUGUCUUUUUUACAGUCUUACCAUUGCUUGUAAGUCGGAUUGGGUCAGAUGGAUCAUCUUUAAAGGCACCAGGCAAGUACAUGAUGUACAGUUACAAGUCAUGUAUUUUUUUGACUGCAAUAUUAAAUGCUUUCACGUCACAUGUAAAAGUACACAGGAAUGUGCUGAUCACUUUUUAUUUGUAGUUUACAUCAGUGUCAUUGCACUUUUCAGGAGUUAAGGCAGAUGUGGAGGCACACGGGUGACACCAGACACACACCAAGCACAUUGUUCGGACAUUCAAUCAUGACAUGAUCCAUGUGGAUGCUGUCCAUUGAGGAAAGAGUUUGUUCAGCGGUUUCUGGAUAGAAUUAAUUCCAAAGAUGGGAAAAAGUGCACAUCCAGACAAGGAGCAAGCAAAUAGACAAGGAACUUGGUGCAGAGAAAAGCUGUGGCCAUUGACCCCCAUGUGAACAGCUUCAUGCAGUCCCUGAUUGAGUUCGAAUGGACGACUUCAAAGUAAAGGCCACUGUGGUCUGUCUGCCACAGUUUAAUGCAUUUAUUUUUAGUGUUAAAUGAAAUUCAAGUAGAAUAUUUUAAACUAUGGGCCAGUGUUCUUUUUACCACAGUGAAAUGUUACCUUUUAGUCGAUGAUGGACUUUAAACUGAAAACUUCAAACUAUGGAACAGUGUUCUAUUUGCCAGAGUUAAAUAUGUUACAGCAGGGG